GUGCCUCUCUUCAGCUAGUGCCUUUCUUGCCAGUGAACUGCAGGCUCUCCUCCUUAAGGCAUGUGGCACUUAGGUCUAUAACAUGUAUUACCUCUGAUAGACAUGUGGAAAGUAUUCUGUCCUUGUUACUAGUAAUGGUGCAGUGAAAGUACUUGUGCACAGAUCUGUAUGUACCUUUAGGACAGAUGCUUAGAUGUGACAUUAGAUAUGACAAGGGUCAUAGAAGAGGUGAGCAGACCUUUGGAUUCUGCUAUCUGCUAGACAUGCUAUUAUUUACUAAAGAGUUUGCUUAAGUGUCUUUUUCUGGGGUAUGUGGGCCCUUCUUAAUUUCUCUGAUGUAACUUGGAUUUUCAUAAUUCCUACCCAUUUUUCUGUUGGGUCGUUGCCAUUUGUUCUUUGGCUUUGGAGAGCUCUUUGAUUAUCAGUCAGGUUAGCUUUGACUAUCACAGAAAGGGCACACCUUGUUCCAGUUUGAUUGUGUUACUGUUUUGGGGCCUAGAAGCUGUUAUCUACUCCAUUCUUUACUCCUUUUUUUGGCUUUGGAAUUAUGACUACUUUGUCAACAGAAAGGUAUUUCACAUAUAUGCUUUUCUUUUUCUAACUCCAGUGUGUUCUUGUUUUUGCUAAGCACAUUGUUGCCUUCUGUGAAUGGUGGUAGUUCAUCACAGUUCAGGAAUUUGUGAUGGCUUGUUCUCCACCAGCCAAUUUGUCCUAGCACACCAUUUAGCAGUGACUGAAAGGUUACAGAAAAGGGAACACUUCACUUGUUUUGCAAGAUUCUAGAUAUUUUCUGGGACCUUACAGUCAUUGGUAUUAGCCCUGCAGUUCUAGUAAAGGAAAGUAAACUGCAAUUGAGAAAGCAAUAAAUGUCCCUUGCUCAUUCCUCAGGUUUGAAAUCCUUCCUGCCCUCCUGUAAGCUUUCAUGGUUCUGAGUGGGAUUUGUGAAUCCAUCCCUGGGCUUUUAUUCACAUGGCUUCUAUCCCAUUAAGAGUGAGUAGGCUAAGUAGAAUUUAGAUUUUAAAAAAGGAUUUAAAAAGCAAUCCUGAGCUGAGGGCUUCCUCAGCAUUCUCAGGGGAUGUGGAACAAGUUUUCCAUUUCCUAAUUCCCUGGUAUCUAUCAGACAGAUCUUUGGGAAAAUGUUAAAGGAACAAACAAGUACUUUGCUUAUGUGUUUUCAUUUAAAUACCUAACCUAUAAUUUUUUCUUUAGGAAUACUGUUGGUUUAGCUUGAGUCCAGUUUUGUGGUGGUAUAUAAGACUGUCCUAUAGCUGCUUUAAAAAUUCUUUUAGACUUGAAAGAGCAACAACAACAAAA
rnacentral:lncRNA from 1 species